GGAGAUGUGGCUCAAUGGUAGAGUGUUUGCUUAGCAUGUACAAGGCCCUGGGUUCAACCCCCAGUAACCCCC
rnacentral:tRNA from 1 species